rnacentral:rRNA from 1 species
UACGGAGGGGGCUAGCGUUGUUCGGAAUUACUGGGCGUAAAGCGCGCGUAGGCGGCUUUGUAAGUUAGCGGUGAAAGCCCGGAGCUCAACUCCGGAAUUGCCUUUAAGACUGCAUCGCUAGAAUUGUGGAGAGGUAAGUGGAAUUCCGAGUGUAGAGGUGAAAUUCGUAGAUAUUCGGAAGAACACCAGUGGCGAAGGCGACUUACUGGACACAUAUUGACGCUGAGGUGCGAAAGCGUGGGGAGCAAACAGG